rnacentral:snRNA from 1 species
UUGCUCAUUCCUGCAGCACAUAUACUAAAAUUGGAACGAUACAGAGAAGAUUAGCAUGGCCUUGCAUAAGGAUGACACGCAAAUUUGUGAAUCGUUCCAUAUUUUU